CCUACGGGAGGCAGCAGUAGGGAAUCUUCCACAAUGGGCGAAAGCCUGAUGGAGCAACGCCGCGUGGGUGAGGAAGGUCUUCGGAUCGUAAAACUCUGUUGUUAGAGAAGAAAGUGCGUGAGAGUAACUGUUCACGUUUCGACGGUAUCUAACCAGAAAGCCACGGCUAACUACGUGCCAGCAGCCGCGGUAAUACGUAGGUGGCAAGCGUUAUCCGGAUUUAUUGGGCGUAAAGGGAACGCAGGCGGUCUUUUAAGUCUGAUGUGAAAGCCCUCGGCUUAACCGGAGUAGUGCAUUGGAAACUGGGAGACUUGAGUGCAGAAGAGGAGAGUGGAACUCCAUGUGUAGCGGUGAAAUGCGUAGAUAUAUGGAAGAACACCAGUGGCGAAAGCGGCUCUCUGGUCUGUAACUGACGCUGAGGUUCGAAAGCGUGGGUAGCAAACAGGAUUAGAUACCCUUGUAGUC
rnacentral:rRNA from 1 species